rnacentral:rRNA from 1 species
AUUGAACGCUGGCGGCAUGCUUUACACAUGCAAGUCGAACGGUAACAGGCCGCAAGGUGCUGACGAGUGGCGAACGGGUGCGUAAUGCAUCGGAACGUGCCCAGUCGUGGGGGAUAACUACUCGAAAGAGUAGCUAAUACCGCAUACGAUCUAUGGAUGAAAGCGGGGGACCGUAAGGCCUCGCGCGAUUGGAGCGGCCGCUGUCAGAUUAGGUAGUUGGUGGGGUAAAGGCUCACCAAGCCAACGAUCUGUAGCUGGUCUGAGAGGACGACCAGCCACACUGGGACUGAGACACGGCCCAGACUCCUACGGGAGGCAGCAGUGGGGAAUUUUGGACAAUGGGCGCAAGCCUGAUCCAGCAAUGCCGCGUGCAGGAAGAAGGCCUUCGGGUUGUAAACUGCUUUUGUACGGAACGAAACGGCUCUGGUUAAUACCCGGGGCUAAUGACGGUACCGUAAGAAUAAGCACCGGCUAACUACGUG